rnacentral:tRNA from 1 species
GGGUCGUUAGCUCAGGGGUAGAGCAUCUCACUUUUAAUGAGAGGGCCGCUGGUUCGAGACCAGCACGACCCA